GUGCCAGCAGCGACGGUAAUACGUAUGUGGCAAGCCUUGUCCAGAUUUAUGGGGCGUAAAGGGAGCGCAGUGGUUUCUUAAAUCUGAUGUGAAAGCCCACGGCUUAACCUUGGAGGGUCAUUGGAAACUGGGAAACUUGAGUACAGAAGAGGAAUGUGGAACUCCAUGUGUAGCGGUGGAAUGCGUAGAUAUAUGGAAGAACACCAGUGGCGAAGGCGACAUUCUGGUCUGUUACUGACACUGAGGCUCGAAAGCGUGGGGAGCAAACAGGAUUAGAUACCCUGGUAGUCC
rnacentral:rRNA from 1 species